CGCUAUCACUCCUACGGGAGGCUAGCAGUAGGGAAUCUUCCACAAUGGGCGCAAGCCUGAUGGAGCAACACCGCGUGAGUGAAGAAGGGUUUCGGCUCGUAAAGCUCUGUUGUUAAAGAAGAACACGUAUGAGAGUAACUGUUCAUACGUUGACGGUAUUUAACCAGAAAGUCACGGCUAACUACGUGCCAGCAGCCGCGGUAAUACGUAGGUGGCAAGCGUUAUCCGGAUUUAUUGGGCGUAAAGAGAGUGCAGGCGGUUUUCUAAGUCUGAUGUGAAAGCCUUCGGCUUAACCGGAGAAGUGCAUCGGAAACUGGAUAACUUGAGUGCAGAAGAGGGUAGUGGAACUCCAUGUGUAGCGGUGGAAUGCGUAGAUAUAUGGAAGAACACCAGUGGCGAAGGCGGCUACCUGGUCUGCAACUGACGCUGAGACUCGAAAGCAUGGGUAGCGAACAGGAUUAGAUACCCUGGUAG
rnacentral:rRNA from 1 species